AGUGAACGCUGGCGGUAGGCCUAACACAUGCAAGUCGAACGGCAGCACAGUAAGAGCUUGCUCUUACGGGUGGCGAGUGGCGGACGGGUGAGGAAUACAUCGGAAUCUACUUUUUCGUGGGGGAUAACGUAGGGAAACUUACGCUAAUACCGCAUACGACCUACGGGUGAAAGCAGGGGAUCUUCGGACCUUGCGCGAUUGAAUGCGCCGAUGUCGGAUUAGCUAGUUGGCGGGGUAAAGGCCCAGCAAGGCGACGAUCCGUAGCUGGUCUGAGAGGAUGAUCAGCCACACUGGAACUGAGACACGGUCCAGACUCCUACGGGAGGCAGCAGUGGGGAAUAUUGGACAAUGGGCGCAAGCCUGAUCCAGCCAUACCGCGUGGGUGAAGAAGGCCUUCGGGUUGUAAAGCCCUUUUGUUGGGAAAGAAAAGCGGCAGGUUAAUACCCCGCUGUUCUGACGGUACCCAAAGAAUAAGCACCGGCUAACUUCGUG
rnacentral:rRNA from 1 species